rnacentral:rRNA from 1 species
UACGAAGGGGGCUAGCGUUGCUCGGAAUCACUGGGCGUAAAGCGCAAGCGUAGGCGGCUUUUUAAGUCAGAGGUGAAAUCCUGGAGCUCAACUCCAGAACUGCCUUUGAUACUGGAGAGCUUGAGUCCGGGAGAGGUGAGUGGAACUGCGAGUGUAGAGGUGAAAUUCGUAGAUAUUCGCAAGAACACCAGUGGCGAAGGCGAACUCACUGGCCCGGUACUGACGCUGAGGUGCGAAAGCGAGGGGAGCAACAGGG